rnacentral:lncRNA from 1 species
UCUCUGGCAUCUUGAAUUUAGGGCCCUUCAGUUUCGCAUCUGGACCUUCAAUAUUCACAUCUGGAACAUCAACGUCCACCUUGGGUCCUGAGACGUCAAGGUCAGCCUUGGGCAGGUUCACAUCCACUUCAGGGCCCUCUGCUUUGAAGCCAGGCAUGCUGAACUUGGGCAUUUUCAUCUUGGGCAUCUUCAGGUGCCAGUCUGGGCCAUGAACAUCCACAUCUGGGGCAUCAAUGUCCACUUUGGGCCCUCUGAUGUCAACAUCUGGCACUUUCAUUUCACCUUCUACCUUGGGAACAGACACAUCCAUAUCUGGGGCAUCAAUGUCCACUUUGGGCCCUUUAAUGUCAACAUCUGGCACUUUCAUUUCAC